GCAGUGGUAAAUCCAAGUUUAGAUAACUACACCCUCACCAUCUACCCACAAAUAGCCAACACAAGACUAAAUCUGCCAAAUCCGACAACGCUACGCCAAGCAACCGGCGACAUACAAGUAGCGGUACCCCUAUAACCUCCCUGAAGAAGGCCCAAACCAAGGGCCGAAACGUCGGAUGUAAUAGAAUCACCCCGCUCAUAAUUUUCCGGACCGAAAAGCCAAUUGUAGAGGG